rnacentral:rRNA from 1 species
UACGGAGGGGGCUAGCGUUGUUCGGAAUUACUGGGCGUAAAGCGCACGUAGGCGGCUUUGUAAGUUAGAGGUGAAAGCCCGGGGCUCAACCCCGGAAUUGCCUUUAAGACUGCAUCGCUUGAACACGGGAGAGGUGAGUGGAAUUCCGAGUGUAGAGGUGAAAUUCGUAGAUAUUCGGAAGAACACCAGUGGCGAAGGCGGCUCACUGGACCGUUGUUGACGCUGAGGUGCGAAAGCGUGGGGAGCGAACAGG